rfam:Picea glauca, whole genome shotgun sequence.
UAUGACUCUCUUAAGGUAGCCAGAGGCCUCGUCAUCUAAUUAGUGACACACAUGAAUGGAUUAAUGAGAUUCCCAUUGUCCCAGGCUACUAUCUAGAGAAACCACAAGCAAGGGAAUGAGCUUGGAAAACUUAGCAGGGAAAGAAGACCGUGUUGAGCUUGACUCUAGUCCAACUUUGUGAAAUGACUUGAGAGGUGUAGAAUAACUAGGAUUUGUUUUCAGCACAAGUGAAAUACCACUACUUUUAAUGUUAUUUUACUUUUUUUGUGGGGCAGAGAUGAGGCAUUGAACAUAUAUUAAAAGAUAAUGCACAUUUCCUCAAAAUGUUGUCAUUGAUGGAAAUGGUUGAAAGCUCAUUCUUCACACACUUGAUGGAAAUGAGUUUAGGAAACCAAAUAUGAUCAUUACUUUUAAGGAUGAAU